ensembl:lncRNA
GGGUUACGGUACAGAGUCAAUGUGGAGGCUAUAUACAGGGGGUUACGGUACAGAGUCAAUGUGGAGGCUAUAUACAGGUUAUUACGGUACAGAGUCAAUGUGGAGGCUAUAUACAGGGGGUACUGGUACAGAGUCAAUGUGGAGGCUAUAUACAGGUUAUUACGGUACAGAGUCAAUGUGGAGGCUAUAUACAGGGGGUACUGGUACAGAGUCAAUGUGGAGGCUAUAUACAGGGUAUUACGGUACAGAGUCAAUGAGGAGACUAUAUACAGGUUAUUACGGUACAGAGUCAAUGUGGAGGCUAUAUACAGGUUAUUACGGUACAGAGUCAAUGAGGAGGCUAUAUAAAGGGUAUUACGGUACAGAGUCAAUGUGGAGGCUAUAUACAGGUUAUUACGGUACAGAGUCAAUGAGGAGGCUAUAUAAAGGGUAUUACGGUACAGAGUCAAUGUGGAGGCUAUAUACAGGUUAUUACGGUACAGAGUCAAUGAGGAGGCUAUAUACAGGGGGUACCGGUACAGAGUCAAUGUGGAGGCUAUUUACAGGGUAUUACGGUACAGAGUCAAUGUGGAGGCUAUAUACAGGGUAUUACG